CGGGACGGGUGAGUAAUGUCUGGGAAACUGCCCGAUGGAGGGGGAUAACUACUGGAAACGGUAGCUAAUACCGCAUAACGUCGCAAGACCAAAGAGGGGGACCUUAGGGCCUCUUGCCAUCGGAUGUGCCCAGAUGGGAUUAGCUAGUAGGUGGGGUAAUGACUCACCUAGGCGACGAUCCCUAGCUGGUCUGAGAGGAUGACCAGCCACACUGGAACUGAGACACGGUCCAG
rnacentral:rRNA from 1 species